CACGUAGGGGGCAAGCGUUGUCCGGAUUUAUUGGGCGUAAAGAGCUCGUAGGCGGCUUAGUAAGUCGGGUGUGAAACCUCCAGGCUCAACCUGGAGACGCCACCCGAUACUGCUGUGGCUAGAGUCCGGUAGGGGAGCGUGGAAUUCCUGGUGUAGCGGUGAAAUGCGCAGAUAUCAGGAGGAACACCUAUUGCGAAGGCAGCUCGCUGGGACGUAACUGACGCUGAGACGCGAAAGCGUGGGGAGCAAACAGG
rnacentral:rRNA from 1 species